rnacentral:tRNA from 1 species
GUCCAGGGGCGGGAAUCGAACCCACAACCUUCUGAUUACCGGGCAGGUGCCAUGUCCACUAAGCUACCCUGGA